CGGGAGGCUGGUCGUAGGGGCGCACCUGUCAAUAGCCAGCGGAGAUUCCGGAUUUCGUUGGACGUCUCGAGGACGCGAUGCCAAGUGUCCGGCAAACAGAGCGGGGCCGUGACACCCGACGGAGAGCCACUCCUCGUUACGUAACUCAAGUGUGCAAAGAGAAAGCAAGAAGAAAAGAACAUCGUUCCGCGGCUACUUUCUCGCAGCGUUUCGGCCGGCGAGCAGCGUUACGUUAACGUUACGUCGCCUCGGAACGUCGUUCCGUCGCGGUGCAACGCAACGAUUAGUAUCGCCGUCGUUGCGAAUAGAGGCUGAGGCGAUCGCGCAUUCCACCGUCUAUGGGCAGGCAUUUUCCUCUCGUUUCUCGCGACAGGAUCGUUAAACAGCUUCGCGAGUAAAUCGAAUAAAUCGCGUAGUAUAGACGAUGAGAGAGUGAAUCGAAAAUUCCCAUCCGCGGAGCCCAUCUAAAUGUCAAAUAACUUUCUAGUUAUUCUAGAGAAUCCGAGGGGUCUCGUAACUCUCCAAACACGUUUCAAACCGGGAAAUCGUUUGUGGCGACUGUGAACGGCCACGGUGUGCAACGCGUGAAAUCCACCUGCACCGCUGGCGGAGUUUCUUCCUCUCUUUCGAAAACACCGGAACGGGCAUCGUCAUCGGGUGAUUUCGGCCGAUUUCGAUCGGGCAACUCUCGCCGCGGAAGCUCCCGAUCCUGCCUGACACGGCGUCGAUUAUCGCUUUGUAAAUUCAAGACCGGCGAUGAUAUUACAGCUCGUCGUGAUAUCACGGCAGAGAAAGCGAAAUAUCAACCAUAGAGACUUGACUCGACGCGAAAAAGGAACAAGGAGCAAGAACGAAUUAUCGGUACAGGAAAGACAGUGACGUUCGCUUGGACCAAAUGUUACACGAGUGGCGAGCACCGAUCAUACCUGGCAAGUGUGUGCAAGUGUAUCGAGGUUCGAACGUUACGCACGAUCGAGAUCGUUUUUACGCAAUCAACGAUACCGACCACUUGGAUCUCGAGCCAUCAAACGACCGGCUUGGUUAACCUAUUAACUGAAAAUGGCGAGUAUAUCUUCGUCAGGAAGAAAUGGCAAUUUGUUUGUGCAACGACGAGAAAAUCCAUCUGUACCACCGCUGUGCGGACACGUUUCGAGUUCCUGUGACAUUUGAACGGUUCGCUGACGUCCAGACGAUCCCGAUGACUUCACCCUUCGUUUUAACACCGUUACUCGAGACCUUUUCCGUAGCCGAUUGCCACGUGAAUGUACCACACGCCUAGAAUCGCUGCCUGUAUAUAGCAGAUCCAACGCAGAACCAAUUUUCUCAUAUUCUUCGAGGAACAGAGUUUCGAGAAACAAGGAGUUCACCUCGAGGCAGGCACAAAGACACACCGGAGCGAGACACGUUCGCGAGGAUCUUUGGAUAUUCGUGGCACGCGGCAACGAAAGAACAAAAUGAGAGAUGGUUAAUUUUAACGUAGCCUUGAGGAUCCAGAGGAUCUAGCAUCGGGAUGAUAGCUGUUGCAAACCAGUUGCAAAGGUGAACCGGACGAUUCGCCGAUGCGUCGUUGUAACGACUUCGAAUUAUCUCCCUAAUUAUUGUUGAGAAAUGUUUCAUUCGAUCGUG